rnacentral:rRNA from 1 species
GGUAGCGUAAUCACUUGUCUUUUAAAUGAAGACCCGUAUGAAUGGUAAAACGAGGGCUUAACUGUCUCCCCUCCCAAGUCAGUGAAAUUGAUCUGCCCGUGCAGAAGCGAGCAUAAACAUGCAAGACGAGAAGACCCUUUGGAGCUUAAGACAUAAGGUCAACUAUGUUAAAAGUCCUAACGAAAAGAACCCCAAACAAAACAGCAACUGACCAGAGUCUUCGGUUGGGGCGACCGCGGGGGAAAAGAAAGCCCCCACAUGGAAUGGGAUAUCCCCAAACCAAGAGGGACACCUCUAAGCCACAGAACAUCUGACCAAAAGAUCCGGUAUAUUUACCGAUUAACGAACCAAGUUACCCUAGGGAUAACAGCGCAAUCCCCUUCAAGAGUCCAUAUCGACAAGGGGGUUUACGACCUCGAUGUUGGAUCAGGACAUCCUAAUGGUGCAGCCGCUAUUAAGGGUUCGUUUGUUCAACGAUUAA